AGGAGCCCAGCCGUGAAUAAUGAACCUACCUCAUCUGGACAAUCAGUUGCGGUUAGAGCACUCGUCGUAAAAACCCAAACGAUAACGCUAGAUCUUGGACAGGAGGACCUUCCGAUUGGGUAAACCCUCGCCGUUUUUCCCUUUUAUCUCGAAUGAUCCAUUUUGCUUGCUUUUCUCGUUUAAUCGUCUUGAUCUUGGUUGAAGAGAACUGAUGUCAAGAUUUAAUCCCUUUGUAUUUCUUUUUCAUUCGAUCUAGACGUUUGUGUGUUGGGUUUAUCGAUGGAUACAUGUUUUAGGGUGAGGGAAAGAAUAUUUUGUCUUUGAAAGAAAAAACAGAAGUUGAGCGAGAAACAACAGGAGGAAUAAGCAUUUUGUUUUCGUUUUGUUUUAUGCAUCUCCACAACUGUUCAAGUGCUGAGUUUACAUUUAUUAGUAUGAAUAUUAGUGUGUAAGUGGUAGUAUUGCUAUGUAGCUAUUAUGGUUAUU
rnacentral:lncRNA from 1 species